rnacentral:lncRNA from 1 species
ACUUAUCUGAUCAAUUUGAUGAAUUAUGUCUUGAUUAGACUGCUAAGUGAUUCGAGUUGACCCAUGCCAUUAAGGUUGAUCAGUGUGACUGAUCUAGAUGCUAUUUCAACCAGCAUGACCCUAAUCCAAUUCAACGACUUAGUGAAGUCAGUGAGAGGAUUGUGAUUUACUGGUUGAUCUCUUCUCAUCUCUUCUCUAAAUUAAUU